rnacentral:lncRNA from 1 species
AAAAUUACAUCAUGAGAAGCUCAUCUCUUUACAUUAACAAGCUUCUACCUUUUAAUAUCUCCAGGGCUGUCAGCACAUGAAGACAGGGAGUAGUCAUCAUCCACUUCGGAAGGAAUUUAACUGACACAGCCGCUCACAGCCACUAACUCUUGAUGUUGAAAUCUACCUGUCUUGGUGAUCAUCCCACAAGGUGGUAAGGGACUGUCUAGCUGGAGAAAUUUGGUGGCUGAUGGAAAUACUGAUCUGGAACUCAGAAGGGGAGGCUGGCUGGAGAUAGGGACCUGUGCAGGGAAUGGGCCCAGAGACAAUCUGCAGAAUGAAGAGGAGGAUUCAGGAUGAAACUCUGCAAACACCAACAAGGAAAGAGCCUGUGAAGGAGAUGACGGGAGAGCAGCGAGGAAAGGAGGAGAAAAACAGGAAGAGAACAGAAGCCAGAAGUACAGGAUGUUUCAGGAGGAAAUUAAAUAUCAAAAGAAAUAUUUUUUUUACAAUAAGAAAAAUUAGAAUAUUUACAGACUGAGGGGAAGUUACAUUAGGGAGAGAAUUUGAAGACGUGCACUGAAGAGGGAUGAGUGCUGGGGCAGGGUUUCAGGGAUAGUAAGAAAAGAUGUGGUCUAGAACCUGGGUGGAAGGACUAUCCUUGACCUGUGAACAUACUGGAGAAAAUACGUGAUGGCCUUCAUUUCAAAAUUACAUUUGCCUUCUGCUAAUGGCCUAUAUUUAGUUUAUAGAUUAUCUAGGCCUCUUAUGUUCUCUCUUUUUCAUCCUCAGACUGCCCAUUUACCAUUUUCAUGGUAUUAAGCACUUAGAAAUGAGCACUGAAAGGUGAUAAAUAUAGGACUAAACUAUGAGUACAUUUUCUUCUUAAGCACCUGUGAAAAGGUUUCUGGAAAGCAAAUUUGAAUGUAAGUGUUAAAAUAAGAUUUGAAGGUGAUAUGUUUUUAAAGUGGUUUGCAUGUAUGCUAGAGAUGAUACAAGAUGUCUAAACACACAUGUGUUUUAUACAUAUUAACAGGUAUAUAUAUGUAUAUACAAUUGUAUAUACAUAACACGGCAUAUUGUAUACUCAAGGAACAGGUUUUCUCUUAAUUUAAGAUCAUCAUAAUGAAGCUCUGUCACAUACAUAGCUUUUAAAUUUGAAUUUUUGUAUGUGAUAUGAUGCAAUUGUACAUACUAUAAUUUUAUAACAGUUAUGUGUGUGUGUGUGUGUAAUGAUAGUGAAUGAGAAAUUUUAUACAGAUAGGGUAAUGCCAUACAAAAUUUUAGAUACUACUGAGCUAGAGAUUUCACUUAUUCAUGUUAACCUGGGAUACUCAUGGUACCAAAAAACGAUGCUGCUUCUCCAGGAACCUCAAGUGAUAUCACAAAUGAGAGAGCUUUCUUAUGAGGAUCUUAAAUUAAGAGAAAACCUGUUCCUUGAGUAUACAAAUGGCUGGAGUAGGAGGAGGGAAUAAAUGCACAAAACUUUUGCAGAUGUUAUUUUCGAUCAUCUCUGCUUGCUUGCCCUGAGGUGUCCUUAUUAACUCCAGGUUAAGUCUCUGUUCCUGACUUCAUGCCUUGCAGCGUUACAUUCCAUUAAAGAAUUUCUCACUGCUCUUUACAUAACAAGCCUCAACAUUUCAAAGAUAAGAAAAUGAUGUUAUGUUUCCACAGCUUAUUUUAAUACUGGGUAAUUACAGAGAGAUGAAAAGCUUGGGUUUAUAUUUCUAUUAGCUCUAGUUGUAUUCCAGAGACUCAUUUUCAAUGUCAAGUACAACUUUACCUGAAAUCCGUAGAUUAGGGUUGGUGGCCCCUCAAAACAACUCAUCUGGUUCCCGGAGAAAGUAUCUGAAGCACCCAAUACAGGUGAGACAGAAAACCUAAGAUGCCCAUUCUCUGCUCGGGCUGGGGACAGUGGUGCUAUUUCUCUCUUAUCUCUGACCUGGAGAAAAUGCCACCAGGUUGACGUGGACUAGGAUUCAUUCCUCCACAAUAAAGAAUAGCAAGUGGCUGAAUGUCAGUCUCAAAGGAGGACAGCUUAGGAAAUAUUUAUCUUCUUUGUAAAAAAAAAAAAAAAAAACCACACACACACUUUAAAAUCAGAGACAACUUUUUUGUUUUGUUUUGAUCGCUGUUCAAACUACAUUAUACAAACGUGUCUCCUUCUCCCUCCAAAUAAACUAAAAUUCUUAAAUUUGACCACACUCUAGCUCUGCCUAAUGGUCAGGGAAAAAGUACUCAGGCGAUGGUCCCACAAAAGCUCUCCACCCCAGCCUUAUUUCCUCCUCUUAGUGUAAAAGAACUCAGGAGGUGGGCGGGCCCCACUGCCACAGCACUACAGUUAGAGCGGCUGCUCCGGCUUAUUCUCUCAUUGCGGCAUCUAGGAUCCAGAAGUGAAAAGAACUUUUCCUAGCCUAAGUUUACAUUCGUCGAAUAGACAAUGUUACAACAAUAAGAGGAAGGCAGAAGGGAAGGAAGAAUUCCCCUCUGCCAAGUAUUUAAGUGGCGCUUGGUUUAUUCCAAGUCCCCCCGGGAAGAAACACAGCGCUUCGUCCUCAAGUAAGAAAUAGAGGCAUUAUUCACAUCCUUGGGUUGAAAAAUAAGCAUUUUGGGGCUCGCAGGCUUCUGCAAAGCCAGCAAGCACCGCGCUGGGGAGCUGCAGGCCGCCAUCAGCAAUGGAUUCCGGAUUUCCCUGGUCUCUGGCAGGCGCGGCACCUGUCUGAGCCAGGGGAAGUUGGGCUGCAGGACUCGCGGUCUCCAGGACACCCGCGGAUCCCCACACUGUCCAUGCUUGAGUGCGUGCGUGUCUGUCUGUGUGUGUGUGUGUGUGUGUGCGUGUGUGUACCUAAAACAAAGCACUCACUGAGAUGACUUUGGAGGGUGCUUAACAGACAGGGCGAGACGCGCCUAAUGGGGACGCAAGGCCUGGGAUAGCAGGAAGGGAACGAAGAAGUAUCUCUUUCCAAGCAGGUCCUGGUGGCUGGGAGCCCGAGUCCACGUGGAAUCCGAGGGAACACACGGAGCUCGCUCCCUAGUUCCGCCCAAUCCCUCCAGCGAGCCCCAGGAAGCCGCGCGGGUCCCUCCUGCAGCCGAUGCAGAGCGAAA